AUUGAACGCUGGCGGCAGGCCUAACACAUGCAAGUCGAACGAGUGGCGGACGGGUGAGUAAUGUGUGGGAAACUGCCUGAUGGAGGGGGAUAACUACUGGAAACGGUAGCUAAUACCGCAUACCAUCGGAUGUGCCCAGCGGGGAUUAGCUAGUAGGUGGGGAAAAGGCUCAACUCGGCGGCGAUCCCGCGCGGGUCUGAGAGGAUGACCAGCCAAACUGGAUCUGAGACAGGGCCCAGACUCCGAAGGUAGGCAGCGGGGGAGAAGAUUGGCAAAGGGGCGGAAGUGUGAGGCAGACACGCCGCGUGUAUGCAGAAGGCCUGCGGUUUGUAAAGUACUUUCAGCGGGCAGGCGUUACCCGCAGAAGAAGCACCGGCGAACUCCGUGCCAGCAGCCGCGGUAAUC
rnacentral:rRNA from 1 species